UCGACGAUUUUCCGAAAAUAACUGUAUAAACAUGGCAUGCACGAAUUCUGACGGUUUUAUUCGAUAAAUUACUGAUUAUUUUAGAUUCAUUGAGUUUGGACAAAAAAUCGACGAUUUUCCAGAAAUCACUGUAUAAACAUGGCUUGCACAAAUU
rnacentral:lncRNA from 1 species